rnacentral:rRNA from 1 species
AGAGUUUGAUCCUGGCUCAGGAUGAACUCUGGCGGCGUGCUUAACACAUGCAAGUCGAACGAAACACCUUAUCUGAUUUUCUUCGGAUUGAAGCAACUGUGACUGAGCGGCGGACGGGUGAGUAACGCGUGGGUAACCUGCCUCAUACAGGGGGAUAACAGUUGGAAACGGCUGCUAAUACCGCAUAAGCGCACAGUACCGCAUGGUACCGUGUGAAAAACUCCGGUGGUAUGAGAUGGACCCGCGUCUGAUUAGCUAGUUGGUGGGGUAACGGCCUACCAAGGCGACGAUCAGUAGCCGACCUGAGAGGGUGACCGGCCACAUUGGGACUGAGACACGGCCCAAACUCCUACGGGAGGCAGCAGUGGGGAAUAUUGCACAAUGGGGGGAACCCUGAUGCAGCGACGCCGCGUGAGUGAAGAAGUAUCUCGGUAUGUAAAGCUCUAUCAGCAGGGAAGAAAAUGACGGUACCUGACUAAGAAGCCCCGGCUAACUACGUGCCAGCAGCCGCGGUAAUACGUAGGGGGCAAGCGUUAUCCGGAAUUACUGGGUGUAAAGGGUGCGUAGGUGGUAUGGCAAGUCAGAAGUGAAAACCCAGGGCUUAACUCUGGGACUGCUUUUGAAACUGUCAGACUAGAGUGCAGGAGAGGUAAGCGGAAUUCCUAGUGUAGCGGUGAAAUGCGUAGAUAUUAGGAGGAACAUCAGUGGCGAAGGCGGCUUACUGGACUGAAACUGACACUGAGGCACGUAAGCGUGGGGAGCAAACAGGAUUAGAUACCCUGGUAGUCCACGCCGUAAACG